UGUUGGACAAAUUUUCAGAAUAUUGUAAACAAUGGAAAUUGAAAAUAAAUAUAAAUAAAACGAAAAUUAUGAUAUUUUCAAAAGGUAGAAUACCUAGAAACUUGUUAUUUAAUAUAGAUGGAAAUGAAAUUGAGAUAGUCAGUAGCUAUAAAUAUCUUGGUAUUAUUUUUUCUAGAAGUGGCUCAUUUCUUUCCACCAGAAAAUAUCUACGUGACCAGGCGAUUAAAGCAAUGUAUGCUGUAAUAAAAAAAUCCAGAUUAAAUAACUUGUCGAUCGAGUGCCAACUCGAUAUGUUUGAUAAGGCUAUUGUUCCUAUACUAACUUAUGGGUGUGAGAUAUGGGGAUUUGAAAAUUUAGAUAUUCUUGAGAGAGUUCAUUUGCGUUUUUGUAAACAUAUAUUGAGGUUUAAAAAUUCAACCCCCAAUUUUAUGGUCUAUGGGGAAUUGGG
rnacentral:lncRNA from 1 species